UUAGAAAAUAUUUCAAAAAUACAAAUAAAGUUUAUCCUUGCCGCUGCCCUCUUCUUGUUAUAGUUGGCCACCAUACCAAAGUAACUUUUUGCUGCCAUCGUGCCUUCUUUGUCUCACCAUCGAUCGUCACCAUCCAUCCCUAGGUAAAGAGUCUCAUCGCCGCUGCUCAGCCACCGUUCACAUUGCCGCUACCAUCUCACGGAUAUUGAGGCUCGAGACAGGACAUACAUACUAUUUUGGGCAAGCUUUCAUCAAAGGUUGGAUGGAACCAUUAUCAUAGAAUCAAGGCCAACUUCCUUGCUGCCGAGGGCUUUCAGAGAUUGAUCCUCGAUAAAGAGGGACUCAUGUCUGACCAGGAUCAGCUAUUGUCCAAGAGGGACUGAAUUGCUGCUCACUUCCCGGUGUUAGAGGCAAAGGCUUCUGAGGUAAGCGAGCUCGAGGUCCGGUUGCAGCUGAGCAACCAGGAACUGAUGGCCUUUAGCCAAGAAGCCACUCGGCUAAAUGUACAGUUUCAAGAGGCUAAGGCUAAAUAGGCUGAGGUCCAAGAUGAUGUGCUUGCUGCUGCCGAGCGCAAGUCUGCCUCCAUUGAACAAGUGAAUAAUUUGGAGGCAGCCUUGAACUCUAAAGCUGAAGAAGCUACUGCUGCCAAGGAAAAAAGAGUCCAAAUGGAAGAGAGGUGUAAGAAGAUUGUUGAUCGGAACCGGUUUCACAUAUCUACAACCCGUGAUAUUGAUCUUAGACUUGGCGCCACAAGGCCUGAGAGGGAUGAACUUUUAGCCGAGGUUGACAGACUCAAGUCAAAGCUCCCACACCAAGGGGAUUCCCUCGUCUUUGAAAAGACAUAUUCAAUGUACCAUAUGAGGAGGAAAACCUUGGAGGAGGCUAAAGUGGGGGUCAUUGAUAUUGAUGAUGAAAUCGCAAAGGCCCAUGCGUUGGAGUUAACUGCUCGAGAACAUCUCCCAGCUCAGCCCGCCUCAACUGACGCUUCAAGUACCAAUUUCGAGUAUUCAGAAACUGAGGAAGAACUUGACGAGAAUGCUGAUGAAGGCCCAGAUCCCGCACCAACGACAGAUCUGCCCACCUCUCCCGGGGGGGAGGGGGAGGGGGGAAGAUGCCUAAUCUUCCCCUGAG